UACUGUUGAAGAGCAACCCGGUCGGCAG
rnacentral:piRNA from 1 species